UACAGAGGGUGCAAGCGUUAAUCGGAAUUACUGGGCGUAAAGCGCACGUCGGCGGUUUUUUAAGUCAGAUGUGAAAGCCCCGGGCUCAACCUGGGAAUUGCAUUUGAAACUGGGAAACUAGAGUGUGUGAGAGGGGGGUAGAAUUCCAAGUGUAGCGGUGAAAUGCGUAGAGAUUUGGAGGAAUACCAGUGGCGAAGGCGGCCCCCUGGCACAACACUGACGCUCAGGUGCGAAAGCGUGGGGAGCAAACAGG
rnacentral:rRNA from 1 species